rnacentral:rRNA from 1 species
GAUGAACGCUGGCGGCGUGCCUAAUACAUGCAAGUCGAGCGAACGGACGAGAAGCUUGCUUCUCUGAUGUUAGCGGCGGACGGGUGAGUAACACGUGGAUAACCUACCUAUAAGACUGGGAUAACUUCGGGAAACCGGAGCUAAUACCGGAUAAUAUUUUGAACCGCAUGGUUCAAAAGUAAAAGACGGUCUUGCUGUCACUUAUAGAUGGAUCCGCGCUGCAUUAGCUAGUUGGUAAGGUAACGGCUUACCAAGGCAACGAUGCAUAGCCGACCUGAGAGGGUGAUCGGCCACACCGGAACUGAGACACGGUCCAGACUCCUACGGGAGGCAGCAGUAGGGAAUCUUCCGCAAUGGGCGAAAGCCUGACGGAGCAACGCCGCGUGAGUGAUGAAGGUCUUCGGAUCGUAAAACUCUGUUAUUAGGGAAGAACAUAUGUGUAAGUAACUGUGCACAUCUUGACGGUACCUAAUCAGAAAGCCACGGCUAACUACGUG